ensembl:lncRNA THBS4-AS1 THBS4 antisense RNA 1
UGCGGACAACACGGCCGGAGGGGCCUCCAUGAAAUCCAACCCGGGGUUCCCCAUCCUGCGGUCACAAAAGUCCUGGCAUGUCCUUGGGGACUAUCCUAGGUCAGAAUUGCUCAGGGAAAUGAAGGCUCUGGGAUGCAGAACGGAGAAUGCUUUGCUUCUAGAGCAAGCCUCCCCUCCCCAGACCAGCUCCGUGGCUGGAGAAUGCACAGGAAGCGUGACCAUUCAUGGAGCUGUCCCUGAUUGGAGUGGAGGUAGACAUACAGCAUGGCGCCGUCUGGCCCUGCCAGUCACCUGCCAAAGACGGAAGGUUUCUCCCGGAGGGACUAUGACAGUCCCCACCUCUACACGAUGGCCCACCCCCAACAGGAGCGUCAAGGCAGACAGACUCUGGAAGUUGUAAGGAUGAGGACAGUUAGAGAUGACAGCAGGUACCUUUUCUGUAGAGUGUAAAUGCCAAGAUGGUGCCGCCAGAGAUGAACUAGCCAAGAAUACCUAUUUAUGUUGCAGUAUCGCCAAAGAUAAUAAUCACUAUUGUGGAACAUGAAGGAUAUAUUUUAAGGCUUUCUCCACAUUAGACUUUCUAGGUUCAUUUUCCCACCCUUCUGAAAUCUGACUCGAUUUUCCAGUUGACCACAGUCUGAAGAGAGCCAGUUGGCGUGAGGUUCUGUGACCUACACAGAUGGUGGGAGGAGUCAGACGGGAAAUCUCUUAUGUCGACGUGGUCACCACCACUUGCUUCUUGAGGGAGAAGAAUCGGAAAGACCUGGCAAGACAGACUAGCUAGAAGGGCUUUCUGAUUCCAGAACAAUACUAAGUUUCCUGAAGUAAAGUAUUAAAUAAAUAUAAAUAAAUGGUAAGACGUAUAUAAAUGUGGUAUGAAGAGGAAGAAAAUAAUGGAAUGGAGGGAAAUAGACACAAAUAGAAAUUCUAAGGUAUUUCUAAUCUGGGAUAGAACA